GGGUGUAUAGCUCAGCUGGGAGAGCAGCAGACUGAAGUAGCCAUCUUGUUGAAAGCUAUCGGUCAUUCUGAAGGUCCCGCGUUCGAUCCGCGGUACCCCCA